UUCUUCUACGUAAAUGUCAAGCCAAAGUAGAAAUUAGUGCGGUGUAGAUAUUUUUCCUUGUAGAUAACAAGCCAAAGUAACUCCCAACUUUCAAAUAAGAGUUAUUUUCAUGUACAUUGCGCCAGACUACUAGCUUUUGUUAUCAUUAGAGGUUUCAGUGCUUCACCGGUUCACUCCGUUGGGCAUUUGUGCUCACCAAGUCACUACACUGAACGACUCCGGGCACAACGUAUGUGUAUGCAGCAUUUCUCUCAAUAUGUGGCUGUAACUGUCUCUUGUUGUAUGUGUCAGCCACAUCUAGUGUCCAGCUGUGGCAGCAGCUUCCUCAACACAAAGAUACACAUACGUACACAGUGAUAUCUCAGGGAAUACUCAAGUCAUGAGUGAUACGUAUGGUCAUUUCCUGCCCAAUACAAGCAAGACCCUCAUAACAAGUACUAAAUAAAAAAAUAAAAAAUGAUGCCCAACAUUCACCUGUGAUAACGACAAUAGUGGUGUUCCUCUGUACCAGGAUUCAGAUGACAGAAUAAAUGCUACUAGACAAGGACAGCAGCCAGCCACCUACUCCCACCACCUGCACCUGUGAGGGCAAGGACUGGUGCUUGGUCCACUUGAAGAGGAUGCACUCUCCCUUCCUGUCUACUGGUGAGGUAAUGCCUCUGUAGCAGCUGAUUUCCCUUAACCAUCACUGGAGGGGGGAAGAGCCUUUAAAUUCAAAGUGGCCAACCUCAAGUGCUGGGUAGGCACAAGUUACAGUGCAACUUACACUUUUGAGAGAAUGUUCCUAGUCUCCCCUAACCUAACUAACUUUGAUGUAUAUUGGAUAAAUGAACAAUCCUGGAUAGACAUGACCCAAAUGAUAGAGGCCUUCUGUCUUCCUAAUUUUGUUAGGGAUGGGGGAAAUAGUGACCAACACAGCCAUAUAUCUAAUUCAGGAAUACCUUUCCUUAAAGGGGUUACUUUACACUCUGCUUCCUUCUGAGUGAGACGAAACACCCUUCCUGUCCCUUUCACUGCCCAAUAUUACAUAACAAUGGUCUCACUACCUUCCUUCCCUGGCACCUUCUGACACAUUGAGCACACCAUGCACAACCCUGGAGGACUUUAAACAGAGACAGUGGAUUGUCUCAAUGUGGCUAGUAGUAAUAUAAUAACAAUGAUCUUGUUGGCUUUGAGGAUGAUGUUUUUAACAUUGAACUUACCUCGACG
rnacentral:lncRNA from 1 species